rnacentral:rRNA from 1 species
ACUACGGGAGGCAGCAGUGGGGAAUAUUGGGCAAUGGGCGCAAGCCUGACCCAGCAACGCCGCGUGAAGGAAGAAGGCUUUCGGGUUGUAAACUUCUUUUCUCAGGGACGAAGAAAGUGACGGUACCUGAGGAAUAAGCCACGGCUAACUACGUGCCAGCAGCCGCGGUAAUACGUAGGUGGCAAGCGUUAUCCGGAUUUAUUGGGUGUAAAGGGCGUGUAGGCGGGAGCGCAAGUCAGAUGUGAAAACUCAGGGCUCAACCCUGAGCCUGCAUUUGAAACUGUGUUUCUUGAGUGCUGGAGAGGCGAUCGGAAUUCCGGGUGUAGCGGUGAAAUGCGUAGAUAUACGGAGGAACACCAGUGGCGAAGGCGGAUUGCUGGACAGUAACUGACGCUGAGGCGCGAAAGCGUGGGGAGCAAACAGGAUUAGAUACCCGUGUAGUC